rnacentral:lncRNA from 1 species
UACGUAUGGCAAAAGCAUUCAUUGGAGAGCCUUACUUGGGUUUGCACCCAAAAAAAAAAACCCAAUCUGAGGAAAGACUGCAAGUGUCUGAAUGAAGAGUGCUUGUCAAUGAUCAACUCUUGUGGUACAUCAGGGAACUCACAUAGUUCUGCCAAGGAAAGAGAAAAUACCUUUUAAUCCCAGGGAAAGGAUUGCAAUCACCACAUUAUAAGAUCCCUGAACUUCAGAGAGUAUUGCCAUUUGGAUUCAUGGAGUUGGCGAACUGCUACACUGCUACCUUGUGUAUGGCUCUAAGCUUUGAUCCUAAUGACUGGUUGAUGAUCAUGAUAAUAUUAGGGCCAGUGAAUAUAGCUCAUAGUGAUAAUAAGGAUUCUAGGGUAUUUUUUUUUUCUUUUAGAAAAAGAUCCUGGAAGUUUAUUUGAUCUGACAUGUUUUUGUAAUAUUUAGAAAUAGCUCUUGUAUCAUAAAAAGUUGCCCAGUAUAAGACACACAAGAUGUAUUUUUUUCUCUGGUGAAAAUCAUGCCUAUCACUAGUAUAUGUUUGACAUUUGUAGUAUACUUAAAAUAGUAUUGGGUGUGAGGCAUGGUGGUGAUGAAAAGUAGUCCUUACGGCUACUUGUUAGUCAUUAGAGAGAACAUGGAGAAGGGGUCAAAGUUGGUAUCAUUAACAGGGCAAUGACUUGACCCUUCUUUCAACUGAUCUUACUGGUAGUUGUCUCUAGUUUUUAAGUAAAUUAAUGAUGGACCAUCCCCCAAACAGAGAACUAUGGGGGUAUGAAACAAGGCUGAAGGCUUUUAACCAUGGGAGAAAAAGGUGUUGGUAUUAUUCAUAUAGCAUAACCUGAGGUUGGAGAGGACCACUUGGGAGCCUGUAACCAAAACUAGAAGGUAACUUCUGGGAUGGACGGAGGUUCCCUUGAAGCAGUGCCAACCUAAAUCUACCUCAGGUAAGUAGUUAGAUUAACUUUUUCAAGAUUUCAGACCAAACAAGACAACUUGUAUUCAGUUGAUGUAUUCCUAUGCUUUAAUGUUUUUGUUUGCCCUUAAUUAUUAAAUAAACAUUUGUUCUGAAAAAAAA